AAAGGAAUGGGAGAAGGAGGAUCGGCUCUCAGUUGAGUAAGCCCCUUUUAAAGAAUUGUCCUGGAAGUCCUGUCCAAAACCCUCCACUUGCACAUUCAUCACUUUUAUGUGGAAGGGAGAAUGGGAGACAUGGUUUUUAAACUAAGCAUAAUGACAUACCCAACGUGGGUCUGUUCUUAAGAAGAAGGGGCCAUUGACACUGGUUAUGCAGUCAGCAUUCUGUCCCACACACGUCCAGUAUGAUCCAGAAGACUGAACCUCAAAGGUGAAUAAUCGAGUGUCCUUAUCCUCAGAAACAAGUCAAGUGGGAGAGUAGCCGCACCGUGUUGUAGUUAGUCGUGUAUGUACAUCUGAGUGUCAUACUGACCAUGUAAACCAAGUGCUACGGGGACACAAAGGAGGGGACGAACUUGUGGAGGUGACAUCCAGCAAGUCUAGCUCUUAAGCAAUGACCCCAUAGCCGGGGAGAAGUCGUCCCAGUCACUUACUUGCCCGCGGAUCUCAUUUCUUGAUACGCCCUAGAAAGAUGCCCUGGAGGGCUUUGAAGAAACGUUAAAACUCGGCCUGGUGGAGAAGGAAGGAAAGGGUUUUCAAAGCAGGGAGAAUGACUAAAGAAAAGUGUGACAUCUCAUGUUCGUGGACGUAGGAGCCCAGGUUGAGUAAUGGCCCCCAGAAGACACCCGUGUCCUGAUCGCCGGAGCCUGAGAAUGUGACCUUAUAUGCAAACAAAGGCUUUGUAGAUAUGACUGAGCUAAGGAUGUCAAGAUGGGGAUUUAUGCUGGAGAUCUGGAUGGGCUCUAAAUGCGAUCCCAUGUAUCUUCAUACUAUGAAGGCAGAGAGAGAUUUCACACUGACAGAAGAGGAGGCAGCCAUGGGACCGCAGAAGCAGAGCCUGGGGCGAUGCAGGCUUGGAACGUCCUGAGCCGCCAGAAGAUGCAAGGAACAAAUUCUCCCUGGCGCUCCCAGAGGAGCACAGCCCGGGCAACGCUUUGAUCUCAACCCCGUGAUACCAAACUUUUGGUCAGACUUUUGGUCUCCAGAACUGUGGGAAAAUAUUCUGCUGUGUGAAGCCCCCGAGUGUGUGGGGAUUGUGACAGCAGCCACAGGAAACUAAUACACCCGUGAACCAUUUGGAAGCACAUUUCUAAGUUUCCCAAUAUAUGUUUGUCCGUUUUUUAUUCUCAUUUUUGUUGAUUUCUGUUCUAAUUGCUUUUACUUAGAAAACAAUUAUUCUUAUGAAAUUGGUUAUUUGAAAUUUGCAGACAAUUCCUUUGUGACCUAUACAUAGUAAAUUUUUAUAAAUA
rnacentral:lncRNA from 1 species